UGGGGAAUAUUGCACAAUGGGCGCAAGCCUGAUGCAGCAAUGCCGCGUGAGUGAAGACGGCCUUAGGGUUGUAAAACUCUUUCGCUAGGGAAGAUAAUGACGGUACCUAGUAAAGAAGUCCCGGCUAACUCCGUGCCAGCAGCCGCGGUAAUACGGAGGGGACUAGCGUUGUUCGGAAUUACUGGGCGUAAAGAGUUCGUAGGCGGACUAGCAAGUUAGAGGUGAAAUCCCAGGGCUCAACCUUGGAACUGCCUUUAAAACUGCUAGUCUAGAGACCGGAAGAGGUUAGGGGAAUACCUAGUGUAGAGGUGAAAUUCGUAGAUAUUUGGAGGAACACCAGUGGCGAAGGCGGCUCACUGGCUCGAUACUGACGCUGAGGUGCG
rnacentral:rRNA from 1 species